UAAAAUGAUAUAAGGCUUAUGUUGGAUAGCUUGGCACUUAAAGACGAUGAAGGACGUAGUUACUGACGAUAUGCCUUGGGGAGUUAUAAACAAACUUAGAUCCAAGGAUUUCCUAAUGGGGCAACCUUUUAAAAUUAAGAUUACUAUUUAAUUAUAGUUUUAUUGUUAACCUGGUUAACUGAAACAUCUUAUUAACCAGAGGAGUAGAAAGCAAAUGCGAUUUCCUUAUUAGCGGUGAGCUAAGCGGAAGAAGUCUAAACCAAUAUAGUGGUGUUGUAGGGUGGUUUUUAUUUGAUGUUAGUGAAAUUACUGAGUAUAAUACCUGAGAAGGUGAGAGUCCUGUAACUAGUGUCUUUAUAUAAUUGUAUUUUAUAAUUAUUUGAAAACUUUUAUCCCAAGUAGCAUAGGGCACGUGUAAUCCUGUGUGAAUCUGCGAGGACCACCUCGUAAGACUAAAUACUAAUAAGUGACCGAUAGUGAAUUAGUACCGUGAGGGAAAGCUGAAAUAGAAAACUGUGAAGUUAGUGAAAUAGAUCAUGAAAGCAUAAGCUUACAAGCAAUAGGAGAAUUUAUAUUUAAUUUUGACUGUGUGCCUGUUGAAGAAUGAGCCGGCGACUUAUAGGUGAUGGCUUGGUUAAAAUUUUAGUAUUGGAGCCUAAGGUAAAUCGAGUUUUAAUAGAGCGUUUAUUGUCAUCAUUUAUAGACCCGAACCCGGGUGAUCUAAUCAUGAUCAGGAUGAAGGUUUAGUAACUUAAAUUGGAGGUCCGAACCCACCAAUGUUGAAAAAUUGGGGGAUGAAUUGUGAUUAGGGGAGAAAUUCUAGUCGAACUCGGAGCUAGCUGGAUCUCUCCGAAAUGCGUUGAGGCGCAGCGAAUAAAUAAACUAAUUAUGAGGGGUAAAGCACUGUUUCGAUAAGGGCUGCGAAAGUAGUACCAAGUUGUAGCAAACUAUGAAUACUUAUAAUUUAAAUUUGUUCAGUGAGAUUGUGGGGGAUAAGCUUCAUAAUCGAGAGGGAAACAGCCCAGAUUAUCAGUUAAGGCCCCUAAAUAUUUACUAAGUGGUAAAGGAUGUAAUAAUACCUAGACAACCAGGAGGUUGGCUUAGAAGCAGCCAUUCCUUUAAAAAGUGCGUAAUAGCUUACUGGUCAAGUGUUGUUGCGCCGAAAAUGAAUGGGACUAAGUAAAUUGCCGAAGCUAUAAGAUAUUAAAAAUCGGUAGGAGAGCGUCCUGAAAGGUGAGAAGUUUUUGUGAAAACAUUAAAAUGGACUUUUCAGGAGUGAGAAUGUCGGCUUAAGUAACGAAAACAAUGGUGGAAAUCCAUUGCCCCGAAAACCUAAGGUUUCCUUUGCCAGGUUCGUCCACAAAGGGUUAGUCAGAUUCUAAAGUGAAGUUGAAUAGCUUAGUUGAUGAUAAACAGGUUAAUAUUCCUGUACCUUAUAUUAAUUUCUUGCUACGAGUGACGAAGGUGGGAGGAGUCAUCCAAAGAUUGGUUGUUUUGGUUUAAUUUAUCGAGGUUUUGAGGAUUAUUACAAAAAAUAGUUUGAGCUGAGAUGAAGAAUACGAUAUACAUUACGGUGUUAAAAGUGAUUUCCUUCGUACUUCCUAGAAAAACUCUUAUAGUUAAUUUAAUAUAAGUCUGUACCGUAAACUGACACAGGUGGGUGGGUAGAGAAUACUAAGGGGCGCGAGAUAACCCUUUCUAAGGAACUCGGCAAAAUGACUUUGUAACUUCGGAAGAAAAAGUGCCUCUUUAACAAAGAGGUCGCAGUAAGCAGGUCCAUGCGACAGUUUAUCAAAAACUCAAGUCUCUGCUAAGUCGAAAGACGAUGUAUAGGGGCUGACGCCUGCCCAGUGCCGGAAGGUUAAAGAAAUUGGUUAGCUUUGCGAAGCUGGUGACUGAAGCCCCGGUGAACGGCGGCAAUAACUAUAAUUGUCCUAAGGUAGCGAAAUUCCUUGUCAGGUAAGUUCUGACCCGCACGAAAGGCGUAACGAUAUGGAUACUGUCUCAGAAAGGGACUCGGUGAAAUAGAAUUGACUGUGAAGAUGCGGUCUACCUGCACUUGGACAGAAAGACCCUAUGAAGCUUUACUGUAGCCUGUUAUUGAUUUAGAAUUUCUUUUGCGCAGAAUAGGUGGGAGGCUUUGAAGCUCUUUUUCGGAAGUUGUGGAGCCAAAAUUUGAGAUACCACUCUUAAGAAAUUUGGAAUCUAAUGACAUUCUUAAAUUAUGUUUGAAAAUUUCAGGUGGGCAGUUUUACUGGGGCGGUAGCCUCCUAAAAGGUAACGGAGGCGUGCAAAGGUUUUCUCAAUUUGGGUGGAAAUCAAAUGUAGAGUGUAAAGAUAUAAGAAAGCUUGACUGUGAGACUUACUAGUCAAACAGAGACGAAAGUCGGUCUUAAUGAUCCGACAGUUGCUAGUGGAAGCGCUGUCGCUAAACGGAUAAAAGUUACUCUAGGGAUAACAGGCUGAUCUCCCCCAAGAGUUCACAUCGACGGGGAGGUUUGGCACCUCGAUGUCGGCUCAUCGCAGCCUGGAGCAGUAGUAUGUUCCAAGGGUUGGGCUGUUCGCCCAUUAAAGCGGUACGUGAGCUGGGUUCAGAACGUCGAGAGACAGUUCGGUCCAUAUCCGGUGUAGGCGUUAGAGCAUUGCAAAUAGCUUUCCUUAGUACGAGAGGACCGGGAAAGUCACACCUCUAGUGUGCCAGUUUUUGUGCCAACAGAAGACGCUGGGUAGUUAUGUGUGGAGUGGAGAACUGCUGAAAGCAUAUAAGCAGGAAGCCCAAUUUUAGAUUAGUGCUCUUUUAAUAAAGUCAUAAUUAGAUUAAUUGUUAAAUAGGUGUCACGUGUAAUAUUUGUAAGAAUUUUAGCGGAGACAUACUAAUAGACUGAAAGUUUUAUCCUA
rnacentral:rRNA from 1 species